rnacentral:rRNA from 1 species
AGAACGAACGCUGGCGGCGUGGAUAAGACAUGCAAGUCGAACGCGACUUAUCUGGUUAGCAAUAACUAGGUAAGUUGAGUGGCGAAAGGGUGCGUAACACGUGGGAAUUUACCAAGAAGUGGGGAAUAGCUCGACGAAAGUCGAAUUAAUACCGCAUGUGAUCGAAAGAUCAAAGCCGGGGACCGCAAGGCCUGGCGCUUUUUGAGAAGCCCGCGGCCCAUCAGCUAGUUGGCGGGGUAACGGCCCACCAAGGCUAUGACGGGUAGCUGGUCUGAGAGGACGACCAGCCACACUGGAACUGAGACACGGUCCAGACACCUACGGGUGGCAGCAGUCGAGAAUUUUUUCACAAUGGACG